AUCUGUUGAAUCAUCCUGAAUAUAUUGAGCAAAAUGCUACACUUGCUUUCCAGGCUGCAAUUUGGAGAUGGAUGACACCCAUAAAAAAGUCACAGCCUUCAGCCCAUGAUAUCUUCGUUGGCAAUUGGAAGCCCACCAAGAAUGACACCUUGGCCAAACGGGGUCCUAACUUUGGCACCACCAUUAACGUUCUCUACGGGGAUCAGAUUUGCGGCCAAGGUGAUAUUGAUCCCAUGAAUAACAUCAUUUCCCACUACCUGUAUUACCUUGACCUGAUGGGUGUCGGCCGAGAGGAAGCUGGGCCUCAUGAAAUGCUCUCAUGUGCGGAACAGCAAGCAU
rnacentral:lncRNA from 1 species